UACGUAGGGUCCGAGCGUUGUCCGGAAUUACUGGGCGUAAAGAGCUCGUAGGUGGUUUGUCGCGUUGUCCGUGAAAACUCACAGCUCAACUGUGGGCGUGCGGGCGAUACGGGCAGACUGGAGUACUGCAGGGGAGACUGGAAUUCCUGGUGUAGCGGUGGAAUGCGCAGAUAUCAGGAGGAACACCGGUGGCGAAGGCGGGUCUCUGGGCCGAAAUUGACGCUGAGGAGCGAAAGCGUGGGGAGCGAACAGG
rnacentral:rRNA from 1 species